GACGAACGCUGGCGGCGCGCCUAACACAUGCAAGUCGAACGGAGCUUAGAGAGCUUGCUUUUUAAGCUUAGUGGCGAACGGGUGAGUAACGCGUGAGUAACCUGCCCUAGAGUGGGGGACAACAGUUGGAAACGACUGCUAAUACCGCAUAAGCCCACGGUACCGCAUGGUACUGAGGGAAAAGGAUUUAUUCGCUUUAGGAUGGACUCGCGUCCAAUUAGCUAGUUGGUGAGGUAACGGCCCACCAAGGCGACGAUUGGUAGCCGGACUGAGAGGUUGAACGGCCACAUUGGGACUGAGACACGGCCCAGACUCCUACGGGAGGCAGCAGUGGGGGAUAUUGCACAAUGGGGGAAACCCUGAUGCAGCGACGCCGCGUGGAGGAAGAAGGUUUUCGGAUUGUAAACUCCUGUCGUUAGG
rnacentral:rRNA from 1 species